rnacentral:rRNA from 1 species
GCAGAAUUCAGUGAAUCAUCGAAUCUUUGAACGCAUCUUGCGCUCCUUGGUAUUCCGAGGAGCAUGCCUGUUUGAGUGUCA